GCUUACGGCCAUACCAACCUGGCUAUGCCCGAUCUCGUCUGAUCUCGGAAGCUAAGCAGGUUUGGGCCUGGUUAGUACUUGGAUGGGAGACCGCCUGGGAAUACGGGUGCUGUAAGCU
rnacentral:rRNA from 1 species